rnacentral:lncRNA from 1 species
CUGCGUUGCUCCUGUUUCUGUUAAAGGGAUCUUGGCCCUCCGGGUCUCUAAGAUGCCAGCAUCGCAGGGUUCCUCUGUGCUCUGCACCCACUCGCCCUGCUCACUGACUCUCCCAGCUGCUUCUAUUCCAUUUCCCCUGCACAGUUUAGAUCACCCUUACGUAUAGGCAUAUACCUUCUAGCCUCUAGAGUUGAUCAGAAUUCCGCUCCAGCUGAUAAGAAGCCCAGCUCUUAGACUCCGAAUUACGAAGCAAAGCUCCGCCAGUCUCACCUUCCUGCUCACAUACCGUGGAUAUAACCGAGGUUUAGCCUAGCAUCCAGGCCGUCGAUGGCAGGACCCCUGGUUAUCUCCUGACGUUAAUUCCAUGCCCGCGUCCGCCUCCUCCUGGACCUUGCCCACCUUGGUGCCUUUGCCUGAAACUCCUUGUCCCCUAUUUCUGCGUUUCUAAAUCGAUCCACCCUCAAAGCCACGUUUAGAGGCUACCUCGUCCAUGAACUCGUUUCUGAGCUUCCCUAGCUGUAAAUAACUGCACCCCCGUUCUCUGAAUUCUCAGCCCACUUUUCUUUCCCGCUCAUGACCCGUCAUUUUGUGCCUCGAAUUAAAGCAGUCUGUGGAAGGAGGAAGACUAACACUCACUAGAUCAGUCAUUGCGUUGGGCCUUUUUAUUAGCUCCUUUAAUAUUUACCUGGCCCUGGGAGGCCUGUGCUCUCAGCCCUUGUCGCAGGAGAGGAAACAGAUGCUCAGAAUGGCACCAGGAAAUUGGCUUCUGCUGCCAGCCUUUACAGGUCUGUGCUGUUUCCACUCCCUCUCCUCUGGAUGGUGCCUCCUCGAGAGUGAGGACGGUAACGUUUCAUCUUUACACCCUCAAGGCUCCCGGGGCAGGGCUUGGCACCCGGCCAGCACCCUUUCCGCUGCGGACUGGCUGCCCUGGGCGUUGCUCUCUCCCAGCUGUGCCGCGCACUGCCGCUGUGCCUUCCAGAGUCACACAUGCUGUAGGCCUCGCCACCCAUCCACGCUGAGAUGUUUUUCCUGUGCUCCGGGGCCUGUUUAUGCGUCUCCCUUUGAUUGGCAAGCUUUGAAGCAGGCAGAGAUGGAAUGUGCAGGACUCUUUUGUCCAGAUCCUGAGCAUAACAAUCACAUGAUUUCUGGGGACGAAAACACGUUGUUUUUCAGGAUGAUUUUGUGCUGUUCUUUCAAACCAAUUCUAGUGCGUUUCCUCCACCCCUUCUAACAGGCAGAAAUUGCAUGCUGAGUCCCCUGUGACAUCGCCUUUGUAUGAAAAUUAUUUAUGCUCAAGACCCCAGCCUACUGCCACCUAUUUUAUCCCUCUCCCCCCGCCACCCCCCCUAGUUGCUGGGAGCACUCUUUCUGCCGUCUGCGCAGGCGCAGGUGCGAGGUUUUCCCCCAACCCCGCCCCCGCCAGCCACACCCAUGGUCCCGAGUCCCUCCCACCAAAGCUCACCUGUCCUUGCUCUCUGCUAGGUAACCCGUAAACUGGGACUAGACAGCUGUUCCCGGGAUUCCUGCAUUAACUCCUUGCUCCUUCCACUUGAGUAAUUUAAUGGACAAAGGAACAUAAUGGCAGGAACCAGGCCACUUGCUCUCCCGUGGAGAGAGGGUAUUUUAGGGCAAGGGGACUCUUCUGAGGGUCCGCCCCUGGCACCAGCAGCCCGCGUGGCUGAUCCCAUCCACACAUAGCCCCCACCCCCAACACUGCGCUUGAUUGCGGCAGGAAGUGGCGAUGAGCCACGCUCCCAAGGCUGCCUUCUUACCGUCUGAUGCCAGUGACUCACACACCAGGCUGGUAAGGCUGGUGCCCCACAGAAGUGUGAUUCCCCAAGAGCACGGGUGAUCCGUGGCUCCUGUGGGGCUGGGAAGGCCCCCAGCAUCCGUGUGUUGUCAGAGCUGGCUGAGGGAGCCCUGAGAGCCGGGGGCGGGGGGCUGCUCUCCCGCAGACUCUGGCCCUGGGCAGUGCUCUAUGAGACCGCGGAGGGGCCGCACCAGACACCUGCGCUCAGGCGGGGCGGGGGCGGCGCGCACGUGUCCACUGUCCUGAGCGUGGCAGGUGCACGUGCUUUUGCUUUUUCAGGAGCACCAAAAGGUCUCUGACUCCCUCGGUGUGGUGCUUUGAUGUUAGAAAAUCCUUGUUUUGCCUCCAAAUUCAUGCACAAAGCCUUCCAAGGCCCUGGAUUUAUGGUGGUGGAUUUCAUGGGCAUCCAUGGCCCUGAGCAGCUGUCGUGGGAUUUCUGCCGUUUGAAUGCUCGCUCAUUCCCAUGGAGAGCUCCGGGGACAUCUAAGCCCUCGGAUGGUCUGGCGCGGCUUGCCCUCUUUCUGUCCCCAGCAUGUAGGUGGCUGCAGCUAUUGCUGCCAUUUGCUCUGGGUUCCUUCAGGGAAAGGUGGCCCUUUUUAAUCCAGGGUUAAUGAAAUGUGUUCUCGUUUAUUUGUGGGUAUUUAUCUGAAUCUCAGUUGUGUCGUCUAUGCAAUGAAACACUAAGAAGUGAAACUCUUCUCCUAGGACGGAGGAUAGUGCCAUUACUAACGUCUUUUGGGACAUGAGGAAAAAAUUUGUGUCAAGUGGUAGGUAUAUUGCAAAAAAGUGCAUGCUUCUUAUGGAAAAGCUAGGAAUUGGCCAGAUAAAUGUCAGCUAUUACAUGAUAGGUAGACAGGUAGCUAUACAGAUAGAAGUGUAUAUUCACAUUAUAUAUAUUCAUAUAUAUAAUUAUAUCUUCAGAUAUAUAAUUAUCCAUAUGUCUAUAAUUAGCCAAUUUCAAGUGCUAAAUGAUGAGAGUUCAAACUUUCUUUUUCCUUAAGAAAGAGGGCAAAGCCAGGCCAGGCCGUGGGAGAGGAGGAUGGGUGGUUCUCCCAGUGGAGACGGGGUCUGAUUUCCUGCACGAUUAGCCAGAGCAGUUGUCCUGCGCUGGCUCCUGGCCCCUGGCCCCGACUCAGUGGAGUCAGCCACAGGCUCAUCAGUUCGAGAGGGAAGCAGAUGCUGAGGGCUGUCGCCAGCGCUGGCAGAGGCAGGCCCUGGCGGGGGCGUGCUCCCACGGCAAGGCCAUGCCGGUGCCCCAGGGACUGUUCCCCUAAAGUCCAGCCGAGCGGCCUUUGGCCAGGCCUGGCCCUUCUGAAGUGGACCUUCCUGGCGAGCCCCAGCAGGAGGUAGCCCCGAGCUGCAGCAUCCUUGAACUUGAAGAACAGCCGCGUUGACUUUGCCGGCAGCGUCAAGGGGCGAGAGCAGCUCUGCAACUUGGCUGUUUAAGCUCUGACAUUUUGAACAGGGUCUUGACCGCGCAGAGGCAUCGUUAUGGAAAAGCACAAAUCACUUCGGAGCCAAGACCAGUUAAAGCUGAGGCCAGCCUCGGCCCAGCUGCCUCACAUAGUACGGCGAACUUGCUGAGAAUACAGAUCCCCACCUCCCACGCUGGAUGCUCCCAUGACGGGUCCGCAGUGGCCCUGGAAUCUGCGUUCGGACCAGCUGCCCUAGGCAGAUUUGAGGCCCUGGCCUGGUCUAACGCCCCACGUAGAAUCACAGAGGUCCCUUCCGCCGUGUUCCUGAGCUCAAGAGUCUUAACAGCGUUGUUUCUCUCCCGCGCUGCCAUCUGCAGCGGAGAACUCUCCCUCAUCUGCCCUGGCUUCCUCCCUUUGGCACAAUAAGUGAGAGCCUGUGGAAUCGGAGGGAUUGGGAGAGCAGCUGCGGGCAGGGGAGUCGGUGGGUUGUGAAUAGGUGUGUGUGUGUGUGUGCCUGAGUGUGUGCACAGCAGCACGUGCUUGUGUUAGUGGGCAUGAAGCAGAAGGGAGGUUGAUAUUCAGAUCAGACGAGGGCUUGGCACAUCCAGGGCCAGCAGCCAUUGAGAUCGGUGUGUGCCAGGGCAAAGCAUGCCCACACAAGACCAGCUUAUCCAGAGGCUCCGUCACCUGACUGGCGGGGGAGGAGCCGAGCCUGAUCUUCGGAGAUGGGGGUGGAAGAGGGAGCAGGCUGCCAGCAUCAGGCAACCAGCGGAAGUUAAGGAAACGGGUCCAGGGAACAAGCUCAAAAUCCCUGGGAGACCUGAGCAGAAAGAAGCCAGCCAUUCUUCCUUGCAGGGGAAGAAGGUGCCAGAAGAGCCUUUCGCUGUAAGAACGAUUUCUAGAGCCCAUUACCUCCUGGGAUGGGCUGGCCAUCAGCCCAGGCCCCUUGACUCUGAGGAAGGGGCAGGGUCUGUGAAGAGGGUUGGGUCUCCUUCGGGACGUCUUGCUGCCAGCACGGGGUGGGUCCCAGGUCCUCAGGUCCCCUGCUGCCUGUCAGGUUUCACAGGCUCUUUGCCACCCCAGGUGAGAAUCUUCUGUUAGUAAAGCAGACUAUUCCAGAAGCCGCCUGAUCCGUAUGGAGCAGAGUGGAAGCUCCUUUGUUUGGACAUUACCGCUCUCGGCCCCCAAGCGGCGCUGAGCAGUCCUCACAUAAGACUGGUUUACACUGACCCUGCAGAGGCCAAACCCUCUAGAACCUUUUUGCAGAACUUCUCUUAAAAUCAGAUCUGGGAGUUCCCAUCGUUGCUGAGCGGAAACAAGUCUGACUGGUAUCCAUGAGGACACAGGUUCGAUCCCUGGCCUCACUCAGUGGGUUAAGGAUCUGGCGUUGCCUUGAGCUGUGGUGUCGGUCUCAGAUGUGGCUCGGAGCUGGUGUGGCUGUGGCUGUGGUGUAGGCUGGUGGCUACAGCACCGGUUCGACCCCUAGCCUGGGAACCUCCAUAGGCCGCAGGUGCGGCC